rnacentral:rRNA from 1 species
AACGAACGCUGGCGGCAUGCCUAACACAUGCAAGUCGAACGAGACCUUCGGGUCUAGUGGCGCACGGGUGCGUAACGCGUGGGAACCUGCCCUUAGGUUCGGAAUCACUCCCCGAAAGGGGUGCUAAUACCGGCUAAUGUCUUCGGACCAAAGGUUUAUCGCCUUUGGAUGGGCCCGCGUUGGAUUAGCUAGUUGGUAGGGUAAAAGCCUACCAAGGCGACGAUCCAUAGCUGGUCUGAGAGGAUGAUCAGCCACACUGGGACUGAGACACGGCCCAGACUCCUACGGGAGGCAGCAGUGGGGAAUAUUGGACAAUGGGCGAAAGCCUGAUCCAGCAAUGCCGCGUGAGUGAUGAAGGCCUUAGGGUUGUAAAGCUCUUUUACCCGGGAUGAUAAUGACGGUACCGGGAGAAUAAGCCCCGGCUAACUCCGUG